rnacentral:rRNA from 1 species
CUACGGGAUGCUGCAGUGGGGAAUAUUGCACAAUGGGGGAAACCCUGAUGCAGCAACGCCGCGUGGAGGAUGACGCAUUUCGGUGUGUAAACUCCUUUUAUAUAGGAAGAUAAUGACGGUACUAUAUGAAUAAGCACCGGCUAACUCCGUGCCAGCAGCCGCGGUAAUACGGAGGGUGCAAGCGUUACUCGGAAUCACUGGGCGUAAAGCGCGCGCAGGCGGCCUUUUUAGUUGGAUGUGAAAGCCUAUGGCUUAACCAUAAAACUGCAUCCAAAACUAUCAGGCUAGAGUCUGGGAGGGGAAGAUGGAAUUAGUUGUGUAGGGGUAAAAUCCGUAGAGAUAACUAGGAAUACCAAAAGCGAAGGCGAUCUUCUGGAACAGUACUGACGCUGAGGCGCGAAAGCGUGGGGAGCAAACAGGAUUAGAUACCCCAGUAGUC